GACGUAGGGCGCGAGCGUUGUCCGGAUUUAUUGGGCGUAAAGAGCUCGUAGGCGGUCUGUCGCGUCGGCUGUGAAAACCCGGGGCUCAACCCCGGGCCUGCAGUCGAUACGGGCAGACUAGAGUGCGGUAGGGGAGACUGGAAUUCCUGGUGUAGCGGUGAAAUGCGCAGAUAUCAGGAGGAACACCGGUGGCGAAGGCGGGUCUCUGGGCAGUAACUGACGCUGAGGAGCGAAAGCGUGGGGAGCGAACAGG
rnacentral:rRNA from 1 species